CCUACGGGGUGCUGCAGUGAGGAAUAUUGGUCAAUGGUCGGGAGACUGAACCAGCCAAGCCGCGUGAGGGAUGAAGGUACAGAGUAUCGUAAACCUCUUUUGUCAGGGAACAAAGGCGGGGACGUGUCCCCGGCGGCGUGUACCUGAAGAAAAAGCAUCGGCUAACUCCGUGCCAGCAGCCGCGGUAAUACGGAGGAUGCGAGCGUUAUCCGGAUUUAUUGGGUGAAAAGGGAGCGUAGGCGGGGAUGGAAGUUGGGUGUUAAAUCUACGGGCUCGACUGGUAGUCGCACUCAAAACUGCAGCUCUUGAGUGAAGUAGAGGCAGGCGGAAUUCCUAGUGUAGCGGUGAAAUGCGUAGAUAUUAGGAGGAACACCAGUGGCGAAGGCGGCCUGCUGGGCUUUUACUGACGAUGAGGCUCGAAAGUGUGGGGAGCAAACAGGAUUAGAUACCCCUGUAGUC
rnacentral:rRNA from 1 species